UGCCGGUGAGUGAAGAAGGCCUUCGGGUUGUAAAGCUCUUUUGUCAGGGAAGAAACAGCAGCUCUAACACAGUUUGCGAAUGACGGUACCUGAAGAAUAAGCACCGGCUAACUACGUGCCAGCAGCCGCGGUAAUACGUAGGGUGCAAGCGUUAAUCGGAAUUACUGGGCGUAAAGCGUGCGCAGGCGGUUAUGUAAGACAGGCGUGAAAUCCCCGGGCUUAACCUGGGAAUUGCGCUUGUGACUGCAUAGCUAGAGUAUGUCAGAGGGGGGUAGAAUUCCACGUGUAGCAGUGAAAUGCGUAGAGAUGUGGAGGAAUACCAAUGGCGAAGGCAGCCCCCUGGGAUAAUACUGACGCUCAUGCACGAAAGCGUGGGGAGCAAACAGGAUUAGAUACCCUGGUAGUCCACGCCCUAAACGAUGCUGACUAGUUGUUCGGGAAUUUAUUCCUGAGUAACGUAGCUAACGCGUGAAGUCAGCCGCCUGGGGAGUACGGUCGCAAGAUUAAAACUCAAAGGAAUUGACGGGGAACCGCACAAGCGGUGGAUGAUGUGGAUUAAUUCGAUGCACGC
rnacentral:rRNA from 1 species